UUUCCGUAGGUGAACCUGCGGAAGGAUCAUUAUUGGAUUUUGAAACUUCAGGCUGCUGCUGGCUCUCCUCGGAGGGCAUGUGCACGCUUGUUGUCCAUAUUUCUCCCACUGUGCACAAAUUGUAGACCUUUCAGUAGGCCUAUGUUGUUUUUCACAAUCUCUGAAUGUAUAGAAUGGUUUUGAAUCUUGGGAAAUACAAUACAACUUUCAGCAACGGAUCUCUUGGCUCUC
rnacentral:misc_RNA from 1 species